AUUACAGAAAGCCUUUUACACUGUUCUGUACUGAACAAUCGGGUUAUGCUACAUCUGUCCUUACACAGGACCAUGGUGGUAAACAAACACCAAUAGCAUACUACUCCACCAGAUUGGUCCCUGUUGCCAGGGGUGCCCCCUCAUGUGGGCAGUGGUGGCUGUUACUGUCCUCCUGGACAAAGCCACUGAUAUUGUCUUAGAUAACCCAGUGACCAUAU